UUUGCUUGUUCCAUAUUUUCUUUAGAAUCCUCAUGGUAAUCAGUAGGGUUUUAUGUUAAAUCUGAUUUCCAGCACUCUCUUUUCAGGUGGACAUCUUCAAUAAGGAACUAUUGCUAAUCCCCAUCCAUCUGGAGGUGCACUGGUCCCUUGUCUCAGUUGAUGUAAGGCGACGCACCAUCACCUACUUUGACUCACAGCGAACUCUAAACCGCCGCUGCCCCAAGGUUUGAGGUUGUGGGGGACAGGUAGUAAAGGUGCAGGGAGCCAACCAUUUCAGGACGACGUGUGGGCUUGGAGUCUGAGGAGUGGGCACGGCAUUUCCCACCAGCAUACUCUGUAUUACAUUGGUAAGUGAUUAAGGUAUCCCUUUCUUUUUCCUUAUACCCACAUAGCAUAUUGCCAAGUAUCUACAGGCAGAGGCAGUAAAAAAAGACCGACUGGAUUUCCACCAGGGCUGGAAAGGUUACUUCAAAAUGAAUGUGGCCAGGCAGAAUAAUGACAGUGACUGUGGUGCCUUUGUGUUACAGGUAAGUAGAUAAGGUCUUUCUAACUCCCAUGUCAGUGGCUUAGGGGUUGUUGGUGGCUCUUGCCUCAGUUGGUUCAGUCAAUUGCACAUGUGUUAGGUAGAACACAGAAGCCCUGGUUUCAUUGGUCUUCUUUGGUCCUUUCCUUCUCCAUCCUCAGCUGGGACUGAUUCCUUAUAUCGAGGCGUCCCAAUAUACUUCUCCCAACUAAAUGUACAUUCUCCUAUUUAAACACUAGAUACAUUAUGUAGGCUUAGACUCUAAUGCCAGUCUGUAUGAGAAACAGGUAUUUUCUGAAAAAUUAAGAUAUAUUUUGUGUGAAAUGUGUAGCACAGGUCCUGACUUGGGAGGGAUGCUCAGUAAAUCGUUCUCAUGGCCUGCUUUGUUAACACCCAGUACUGCAAGCACCUGGCCCUGUCUCAGCCAUUCAGCUUCACCCAGCAGGAUAUGCCCAAACUCCGUCGUCAGAUCUACAAGGAACUGUGUCACUGCAAACUCACUGUGUGAGCCACAUACCCCAGACCCUUAGCUCAUUAAUGGGCAGGGGAACAAGGGAGACCCUUCCUAAGAAACUCCAGUUCCUUUUUGUUUCUCCACCCAAUUCCCUUUGGAUUUUCAUAUUUAAAUGUUUGAUUUCUGUAUUUUGUUUUCUUUGCGAGUAUGUUGAUUUCUGAUGGGAAGGGAAUGGCCACAUAAAUGUCCCCUUCUCCCUUUCUAGGGGAAUGUUGCCUUGUGGCCUAGGUGAAGCAUUCACUCCUCCUUCCAUGUUCUGAGGGCAGGAAAGCAGUGUGGGGGUGGUGGGCACAAAGGGAUUACUGCCUGCCAGAUCUUCAAACUUUUUUUUAUAUAUAUAAAUAUAUAUAAAAAUGCCACGGUCCUGCUCUGGUCAAUAAAGGAUCCUUUGAAGAUAUGCAAGUGGUGGUCUUCCUUGAGGGGCCUUAAAAUAGUGGAUGUGCUUUAUCUCAGGCCUUCAAGCUAAUGCUAUUAGCUAUCCCCUUUUCAGGUCUUCAUCUUAGAAACCAGCUUUUUAUAUAUGCCAAUCCCAGGGGAGCAGAUGGCAGUAAGGAUGUGAAUUACAACUCAUGAAUAAAGGAGCCUAGGAGAAACUGGGAACAGACACUAAAUGAGCCAGUGAUGUUGAGUGGGUCAAGAUCCCUGACAGAUUAUCUGCCCUGCUCCCGCCCUAAUGCCCUUUUGCCCAAAAAUGGAUUCCAUCCUUUUUCUCCAGUCGGGGAAACUUACUAUCCAAUGAAAUAUCGCUACUGUUCUGUCAUUCUGCUGAACCAAAUACACCAUUCUUUCCUGAACCGAAGAAUAAAUAAAACUUGUAUCCUGU
rnacentral:lncRNA from 1 species